rnacentral:tRNA from 1 species
GGCAGUGUGAUGGUUUGGAUGUUGGACUAUGACUCUGGAGACCAGGGUUCAAAUCCCAGCUCAGCCA